rnacentral:rRNA from 1 species
UGGGGAAUAUUGGGCAAUGGGCGAAAGCCUGACCCAGCAACGCCGCGUGAAGUAUGAAGGCCUUCGGGUUGUAAACUUCUUUGAUCAGGGAAGAAACAAAUGACGGUACCUGAAAAACAAGCCACGGCUAACUACGUGCCAGCAGCCGCGGUAAUACGUAGGUGGCGAGCGUUAUCCGGAUUUACUGGGUGUAAAGGGCGUGCAGGCGGGCUGAUAAGUCAGAUGUGAAAUCCCCGAGCUUAACUCGGGAACUGCAUCUGAUACUGUUGGUCUUGAGUGCUGGAGAGGAUAGUGGAAUUCCUAGUGUAGCGGUAAAAUGCGCAGAUAUUAGGAGGAACACCAGUGGCGAAGGCGGCUAUCUGGACAGUAACUGACGCUGAGGCGCGAAAGCGUGGGUAGCAAACAG